CCAAUUUCAAUAAGUUUUUCUCCACACUUCAGAACACUUUUCAUGCAUCUCUAGCAAUUGUAAUCAAUAAAACUUAUUGUACUCUAACAUAUUCUAACCCCAAACAACACUUGAUUAGACAUUUAGUGGUUCAACGCAAUGUUUCCGAGUUCUUAGCCCAUUUGGGACCCAAUUUCAACAAGUCUUUCUCCACACUCCUAAACACUCUUCAUGCAUCUCUAGCACUUGUAAUUAAUAAAAUUAAUUAUAUUCUAACAUAUUCUAACCCCAAACAACAUUAGAUAAGUCAUUUAGUGGUUCAACGCAAUAAUUCCGAGUUCUUAGCCCAUUUGGGACCCAAUUUCAACAAGUCUUUCUCCACACUUCUAAACACUUUUCAUGCAUCCUUAGCACUUGUUACCAAUAAAAUUUAUUGUAUUCUAACAUAUUCUAACCCCAAACAACACUAGAUAAGUCAUUUAGUGGUUCAACGCAAUGUUUCCGAGUUCUUAGCCCAUUUGGGACCCAAUUUCAACAAGUUUUUCUCCACACUUCAGAACACUUUUC
rnacentral:lncRNA from 1 species